rnacentral:lncRNA from 1 species
GUGCCCGAGGCUCACUCUGCUCCUCAGUCUCUUUCCUAGACUGUUAGGUUUGGCAGGAGUUGCAGCUCCUCCCUUAACUUCUCUUUCCCAAGUGAAAAUAGCUGGCACGGUGACCUCACCGGGGCCAGGCUGGCAUCUCUCAGCCAAGGCCUCCACCCACGGCUUGUUUUCCCUCACUUGUGUUAGCGACGUUACUCGGUUUCUCUGGCGCUACAUUAAACCCACACAGGACGAAGCUCUGCAACAUUGUCUUGAUUCCAUGUUGACCAUGGACAAGGCCUCGCUUCCUGGGAUCAGAUUCCGCGUUAAAUGGCUUCUAGCCAUUUCCUUUGGCUGUCUGUUACAAACUGGGAAGAACGCGCUCUUUGACCUGUGGCUCCCGCAGUUCCUCUUCCUCUGAACACCUGCCGCCUCCGACCCGCCUCCUUGUCUUUAUCCCAGAAAUAUGGUACUUUGUAUAUUUCGUUCUCCUUUCCCUUCCCGUCUUCCCCAGUUCUUCCUCCUCCCCAGUGCUAAGAUUACAGCGUGCACCACUACUUCCGGUUGUAGACUGGAAACCAAACACAGGCUUAAGCAACC